UGCAACAAAAUUACUCGUAAAACAUACUUAAGGUAGUGCUAAAAAAUUACUCGUAAAACCCCAAGAGAUCAAGCCCUCUUUUGUUCCAAAUUCUUUAUUAAAUUUUCCUUAAAUCUGGCUUUUUUGAGUGCCAAAUUCGAUUUUUUUUUGUAUUAUCUUAUAAUUUCUUGGAGUAUAGUGAAGAUAAUUAGAAAAUAACACAAAUUUUUUGGUAUCAUCAUGAAGUAGAAUGAAGAUAGCGGCGAGUAGAGGAAGGAACAAAGACAAGUAAGUUCAGCAAGUCGACUCAACUAGCUACUUGCUGUUCGUUAAUUUGGAUCGGAUGUAAUUGUUCUCGCACAACACGUACCAAGAUGCACACCUUCCUACCGUAGCAACCGUCUGGAAGCCAGCCGCAGCAGGCCGGCAGCCUCUGCCAACCACAAUAGGCCGGCAGCAGCCCUUGCAGGCAGGCGCUAGCCGUCGCCAGCCACUGCACGCCGCAGCAGGUCAUAGCCAAGCAGUCACAGCAGGCUGGCAGCAGCCCCUGCCAGACACAGCUGGCUGACAGCAGUAACGGCAGCGACAUCAAUGCAGGAACAUUAAUGCUCUGAAGACAGCCGGUAACAAUAGCAUCAACACCUAUCAAUUACCCAAUUUUCCUUCGUUGUCUCACUCCUAGACAAUUUUCUCUCCUGGCAAUGUCCAGAGGUAGAGAAAGCUGUAGCUUCUUCUCUCAUCUUUUGCUCACGAUUUAUCUAGUUUAGCUGGAGGAAGAAAGCAUGGACAUACGAGAGGCAAUCGUGGUGGAUCAAGAGGCCGUGGUUGUGGUGCUCCUACUGGUACUUCAGAUAGAGUUGAUACUCUUGGUAGACUGUUGAGUUGGAAAUAUAGGAGUUGGAAACAUGAUCAAGCAUUUUGUGUUUAUUAGGGUACGUGUAUUGAGACAUGAUGCAACGGAGUUGAAUUUGGACAUGCAUAGUGAUGGAUAUGUCAAGCUUCAAGAUAUUUUGAAGCUGAAUAUGAAAACACGGUCAAAUAUUCCAUUAAGCUCACAUGCUAUUGAUGAAAUUAGAGAAGCUGUAAGGAUAGACAACAAGCAGAGGCUUAGCCUUAUGGAAGAGGAUGGAGAACUGUGGAUACGUGCAAACCAAGGUCAUACUAUAAAGGUUAGCUAUCUUUGCAGUAGUUUUAUUGUGUAUUAAAUUAAUUAAAAUUGUCAAGAACUGCUCCAUGAGUCAAUAUUAUUCCAAUUCCUGAUCUUUUCAAUGUUCUAGACUAAUGGAGAAGAUCUAGAUUGUUGGAUUCCACUUUUAGUACAGUUCAUAAGCUAUUUGAAAUUGACUUGACUCAUCCUGGAAAUGAUGGAGGACUUUUAGAAUUUGAAGUGGAAGAUAUACAUAGGUGUAAAUGAAUAAUUAUUUCGUGAAUGGAAAAUGGAAGUAACAGAUGAAGUCAAUCUUUUGGCAUUGCCAUGCUACAUAUUCCUUGUUCCUAGCAUGGGUUUGUUUGAUUAAAAUAGGAGGUACAGAUAAAGAAGGGAACGGCAAAGGAAACCCCUAAUUUACGGAAUUUGUUUUGAGGGGAAGGGCCAUUGUAUGCUGUUCUUCUUCAUUUUUAAUUUUUUUAAUUUUUUAUUUUUUUUUUCAUUUUUUUUUUGGUGAUGUGGUUUAACUCAGGAAUAAAACCUCCUUAAUCCCUCAAGGCAAGUGUCCCUUUCUCAGCUCCCUCAUUAUGGCGUCUUCUGUUGAAUCCAUCACCGACAAUUUCACCUUUGUCUUGCUGUAAACAUUUUCUUUCUUGUUCCCUCUCUAUAGCCCCUCACCCCUAACAACCUCCAUCUGCUGGCUAACUCACUCUUACCUUUCCCACCUCACAGUCCCCUCCGCUAAGGCGCUAACAAUUCUAUGAGUUCACAAGUUUCCUACUAGCUCUCUCUCUCAUUGGUAGUAGAAUUGACCAUGAAGGCUCUUAAUCUGGAGUCUUGCUGGUCAAAUUUAACCAUUUACAGCUCAUCAUUGUUAUGGCAUUUUAAAGUAUGUUCUUUUUGUUUCUUUUCUGGUUAUUAUGGUGGUAAAAAUGCCAUGAGCUGCUAAUUUUACGGUGAUGGGUAGAUUUGUUGUGGCUGAUGCUUCAGCUUUAAUGUGGUGUUGCGCUUGCAGACGUAAGAAUGGGGAAGGUAUCAUGGUAAGUUGAGAACAUUUGGCCAGGAAGCUAUGAGGUCCAUGAGGAUAUAUGUAGAAAUAUUUAGAGUAUUGGAGAUAUAAUUCAUUUUUGUUUUGCUUGAUGAGCGUGGUUAAGGUGUUGCUAAUUAAGGGAAAUAAAGAAUUAGAGCAAGAGCGAAGCACAACGGCAAGAGCGCUUGCUCGAUCGGGGUCAAGCUCGCCCGAUCGGGCACGCAAGCACGCUGGAAUACCGCUGCUCUGCCGCUUGAUUGAGCAGGAUCUGCCCGGUCGAACCCGCAUGUGCGCUGGAGAAGCAUUGUGUGACCGCCGAUCGGGCGCGAGUGCUGCUAUAUUCGCUGGAUUGUAUACGCUCGAUCGACCUACUUCUAGGUAGUUGUUGACGGUUAUUUUUGUUCGUGAGUUGCUCUAUAUAUAUACAUAUUGUAUAUGAUGAAAGAUAAGAAAUGAAAAUCAGAAAUUAACUUUCUUUUCAUGCUCCUUGUUUUUUUAUUAUUCUCUCUAAGAUUCAUCAUCACAAAUUCACAAAAACUUGUUUUCAUUGAGUUGCUUUUAGACUACUCCUAAUUGCAAUUGCUUCGUUGUAUCUCCUAAGCGAUUCCGUGAUACCCAAGCAGUAGCAUAGGGCCUUAAUAAAGCUUUUGGGAAAGUGAUAUCUUUCACACCUUGAAGGUUCUCGAUGUUGUUCUUGAUCGUUGUUUUUUUCAUCACCUUUGAGACCCUUUAUUUCCAUCUUUAUUUCCAUAUAAUCCCCAGCAAUCCAAAAACUUUAUUUUUUUGCAAAUAUGGCUACCAUCAAGGAAUUGAUGAUGAAUGUUCAAAAGUUAGACAAGUUUAAGGGUGUCGGUUUUCGUAGAUGGCAAAAGAAGAUGCAUUUUCCCUUGACUUCUCUUAGUGUGGCUUAUAUUCUUACUACCCCAAAGCCAUUGGAGGAAGUAAGUGAGACAUUGGAGACCACAAGGAAGAGGAACAAAUGGGAGAACGAUGAUUAUAUUUGUCGUGGUCACAUUUUUAACGGUAUGUCUGAUGACUUGUCUGAUAUUUAUCAGCUGCUAAAAUGCUUUGGGAUGACCUUGAAUCAAAAUACAUGGCUGAAGAUGCAUCUAGCAAGAAGUUCCUUGUUAGUAAUUUCAAUAAUAUUAAGAUGGUUGAUAAUAGGCCUGUAAUGGAACAAUUUCAUGAAUUACAAAAAAAUUUAGGAAACUUUAAGCCAAAUGACAUUAAUGUUGAUUAAACAUUUGUAGCAUCUUCUAUUAUUGACAAACUCCGACCCACUUGGAAAGAUGUUGGAAAUUCUUUGAAACAUAAGAAGUAGAAAUGAAUGUUGAAGAAUUGGGCUAAAAGAUUUCUCUUUCCUAGCCAUCUUACUUCUCCUAGGUUGAGAUGAUGAUGUAAAUGCCUCAUUUUCAACUUAAGCUUAACCAUCUAAAUCUUAAUCAAGUGCAAUUUGAUCAACACUGUAUUUUAUCAACACUUAAAGCAUUGGUAUUUGGAGUAACAUCCUUUGAUUUGGGAAUUGAUGAAUAUUUGUUUUAAUCAAAUAAUGCAUCCUUUAACUUUAUGGUGGUGCGAAUUGACCAAAAGUCAUUUUGUUUAAUAACAUAAAACUGGUAUCUAUAAAAAUGCAUUCAAACUCCUCUUUCACCCUAACUUUUUACGUUUGGGAUCCGACACUUUCAUAAAUGCCCUACAUCCCCAAACCUUGAGAUGACUCAAGUUUGGUUUCCUUUUGUACCAUAGCUCAUAUGGAGUUGCCUUAUUCUUUUUCAUAGUAACUUGAUUUAAAAUAUAACACCGCUUCUCCCCGAAUCCAUCACUCAUGAAUAGGAUAAGAUGGAAUUAACCUUUUCCUGUAAAGUCCUAUUCUUUUUAUCUGCUACACCAUUUUGUUGUGGUGUAUAUGUCGUGGUUGUUUCAUGUAUAAUACCUAAAGAUUGAAAAUAAUUUGUAUCAUAGUACCUUUAUCAGUCUUUUAACUUUUCUGUUUGUUUGCGAUUCUACUUCAUUUUUGUAGAUUUAAAUUUGUCAAGGGCUUCAUCCUUAGAAAAUAAGAAGUAAACAAAGCAAAAUCUUGAAAAAUCAUCAAUGAAUGUUACUAAAUAUUUCUUAUUGCCUAAGGAAGGAGUAUUAUGAAAAUCACAUAGAUCACUAUGCACCAAAUCAAACAAUGUAGUAUUCUUUUCUAUAUUAUUUUAAAAUGGAUUCCUUGUUAUUAACAUGCAUGUUCUACACUUCUCUAUACUUUGGAUCAAAUAAUGGAAUUAAAUCAUUCUUCAACAUAAUUCAGAAAGUAAAGCUUCUUAUAAUUAACAUGUCCAAGUCUAUAAUGCCAUAGAGAAGAGUUAUCACUUACAACAUAAACAUUGUCUUAAACAUUAUUACAAAUACUUAACUUAAACAUUCCAUUAGAAAGAUAUCCAAGUCCUACUAACAUACCACGCUUAGAUAAAAUAAACUUAUCAGAUUCAAACACUAGUUUAAAAGUAGCACUAGACACAAGAUUUCUUCUAAGCUCAUGAGAAUAUAACACAUGACUAAGUAUUAAAGAUUUGCUAGAACUAAACAUCAAUUUUACUUGUCCUUUGCCUAAAACUCUUGCGGUAGAAUCAUUCCCCAUGUAUAAAAUCUCUCCAUUAGUAAUCUCAAUGGAAGUCUUAAACAAAGAACGAUCCUUACAUACAUGUCUUGAUGCUCUUGAAUCGAUAUACCACGAUGAAUUACCCUAUACACAAUGGAUUUUAGGAAUCACACACAAAUAGCCCAAUAUUGAUUUAAAUGAAACUUGUGUACAAGUACCUUAUUUGUCUUGGGAUUGGCUUAACUUGCCUUUCCCUUUUAAGCCUUCUUCUUGCUCAUCUUUUUCUUCCAUAUGAUGCAGUCCUUUUUUAAGUGAUUGGGCUUACCACAUACCCAACAAGCUCGUGGUUUUGAUGCAUCACCAUCGACUUUAGGCUUCUUGCCCUUGUUUCCAUUAGAGUCUUUAUCCCUCUUAUGAUUGUGACUAUCCUUGGACUUACCAUCCUCCACCAUAUUAACGGUGGAACUUGGAUUUUCAUCCUUAAGUCCAUCUUAAAUUCAAAUUCCCUCUUCAAUUCGAAGAUGGGAACCCAAUUCUUCUACAUUCAUUUCAUCUUUCUUAUGUUUCAAAGAAUUUUUAACAUCUUUCCAAGUGGUGGGAGUUUUUCAAUAAUAGAAGAUUCUACAAAUGUUUAAUCAACAUUAAUGUUUGCUGUCUAAAGUUUCCUAAAAUUCUUUGUAGUUCAUAAAAUUGUUCCAUCACAGACCUAUUAUCACUCGUCUUAAAUUUUUUGGAAUUACUAUGAUGAGACUUCUUGCUAGAUGCAUCUUCAACCAUGUAUUUUGAUUCAAGAUCAUCCCAAAGAAUUUUAGUAGAUUCAUAAAAUUGUUAAAUAUCAAACAAGUCAUCAAAUAUGACCACGACAAAUAUAACCAUCGUUAUCCCAUUUGUUCCUCUUCCUUGUGGUCUCUAAUGUCUCACUUUCUUCCUCCAAUGGCUUUGGGGUAGUAAGAAUAUAAGCCACACCAAAAGAAGUCAAGAGAAAGUGCAUCUUCUUUUGUCAUCUACAAAAACCGACACCCUCGAACUUGUCUAACUUUUGAAAAUUCGCCAUCAAUUCCUUGAUGGUAGCAAUCUAUUUUAAAAAUAAAGCUUUUGGAUUGUUAGGGGUUAUAUGGAAAUAAAGGGUCUCAAAGGUGAUGGAAAUAACUAUGAUCAAGAACAACAAUGAGAACCUUUGAGGCGUGAACGAUAUCACUUUCCCAAAAGCUUUAUUUUGACCCUGUACUAUUGGGGUAUCACGGAAUCGCUUAGGAGAUACAACGAAGCAAUUGCAAUUAGGAGUAGUCUAAUAGCAAUUCAAAGAAAACAAGUUUUUGUGAUGAUGAAUCUUAGAGAGAGUAAUAAACAAACAAAGAGAAUGAAAAGCAUGCGGGCUGGACCGGCGGAUCCUGCUUAAUUGAGCGGUUGAGCGACGCUAUUCCAGCGUGCUUGUGUGCCCGAUUGGCAGGCAUGACCCCGAUCGAGCGAGCUUCGCCCUUGCCCUUGUGCUUCGCUCUUGCUCUAAUUCUUUGUUUUCCUUAAUUAGCAUCACCUUAACCACGCUCAUUAAGCAAAACUAACAUUAAUUAUAUCUCCAAUACUGUAAAUAUAUCCUACAUAUAUCCUCAUGGACCUCAUAGCUUCAACCCUUGGCCAAAUGUUCUCAACUUACCAUAAUACUUUCCCCAUUCACGUUAAUAGUGUAAUUUAAAUUUGUAUACGACAUUUAAAUCGAGUAGUAUUGAGCAAUUAAAAUUAUUAUGUCAUUUAAUUAUGGAACAAAUGUGAUGUAGGAUUUUGGUGUGGGCACCAUUUCUUAACUUUAGGAAAUUCCCAAGAAACACAACAUUGAAAUAUUCAUGGUCUAAACCUUAAAAGCCAUCAGGGAUUAGGGUGGGUUUGUCAAAUAUCCAUGGGCUACCAUUGAAGAUUACGAUUGCAAAAUUAUUUCUAAUUGUCAUUAUCAAUUGUAUAUGUAUUGAUAAAUUGAUAUUUGUAACUUCACUCCUUUAAAAGAUUACAAUGUGAUUAUCAUUCACGACUCGAAGGUUCUUGUUGUUGUUCUUGAUAGUUGUUAUCACCAUAUAAUCCUCAACAAUAUAUAGCAAUAUAGGGGAAUGGAAUGAUUGUAAACACUUGGAUUUUUUUUUAUUUUUUUUUUUGGGGGGGGGGGGGGGAUGGGGUUAGUAGAUCCCAACCAUAACGAGGGUUGCAUUUCCAUUUCUUGAAGAGUUAACAUAUGUCUGCAAAAAUGGCCAUUUUCGAGUAUAUUGCCUGUAACACACACACACACACAAAAAGCAAUAAACAGAAAGAAUUGAGGUAAAAGAUUAAAGCUUUAAUUAACCAAACGCUUAAUGGUUCACGCAAAACAGUGAGUUUAGUUCACUACUCUUUAAUUAGUGACUUAGGUCGCAACUCUCAAGAAAACUCGCUUGAUACAAUGCCUCUCUCUCCCCUCUUUUUUAUUUAUGUACAUUCUCAAUCCCUAAAUUAUCUAAGUGGCUGCUCACUGGCUGAUGUGUUUUCUCAUUUCACUCUCUUAUUGGCGGCUUCUCUGUUAUGCUGCAGAGAUGGUGGUGUUGUUGCCACCAACCUUUGUGGGUAUUCUUUGUCUUCUUCUGGCAUAGGUAAGGACCUGCACCACGGUCCAUUAAAUUGCCAUCCAAAUUUGUUUCAAGCUUUUUCUACCACAUGGACAUUGGCUACAGCUAUAUGGCCAUGGCCCUUGGCUUUCCCAUUCCAUGUGAGGUUUUUGGGAAGUAGUCUUAGGAGCUUGGGGGGAAUCCACCUAGUGCUUUGCUGUUUUAUUCUCUCUUAAAAAACUGAUUUUUUUUUUUUAUUUAUUUUUUUUUUUUUUAGGAAACAAUAGAUGUUUCUUGUUGAACUCUUUUCCAUAUCGUUUAAUCUACUGUGAUUUCUCUCUUUGGUUAUUUAAUCUGUAGAGAGUGAGAGUUUGUUGAAGCUGAUCCUUUUUGCUGAAGAGAUCCCUGGUAUGCACUGCGCUUAAGUACUCAGAUCUCCAUGUUGCUUGCUGGCAAAUUACUCUGUUUUGAUUUCCAAACUUGAGAUAAAAAUUGGUAAAAUACUCCAAGUUAGUCUAAAUUGACUCAUGCACAGCCUAAAAUGACCCGAAAUGACUCAAAAACUAACCAAAAUGGAUAAAAGCACAAAACUCUAAUGUAUUCUAUGCUCUUAAAAAGCAUUAGACCUUGUUCACUUCAACUUA